rnacentral:rRNA from 1 species
UGUUUGAUCCUGGCUCAGAUUGAACGCUGGCGGCAGGCCUAACACAUGCAAGUCGAGCGGAUGAAGGGAGCUUGCUCCUGGAUUCAGCGGCGGACGGGUGAGUAAUGCCUAGGAAUCUGCCUGGUAGUGGGGGAUAACGUCCGGAAACGGGCGCUAAUACCGCAUACGUCCUGAGGGAGAAAGUGGGGGAUCUUCGGACCUCACGCUAUCAGAUGAGCCUAGGUCGGAUUAGCUAGUUGGUGGGGUAAAGGCCUACCAAGGCGACGAUCCGUAACUGGUCUGAGAGGAUGAUCAGUCACACUGGAACUGAGACACGGUCCAGACUCCUACGGGAGGCAGCAGUGGGGAAUAUUGGACAAUGGGCGAAAGCCUGAUCCAGCCAUGCCGCGUGUGUGAAGAAGGUCUUCGGAUUGUAAAGCACUUUAAGUUGGGAGGAAGGGCAGUAAGUUAAUACCUUGCUGUUCUGACGUACCAACAAGAUAAGCACCGUACUUU